AAACGAUGAGUACUAGGUGUAGGAGGUAUCGACCCCUUCUGUGCCGCAGUAAACACAAUAAGUACUCCGCCUGGGAAGUACGAUCGCAAGAUUAAAACUCAAAGGAAUUGACGGGGGCCCGCACAAGCAGCGGAGCAUGUGGUUUAAUUCGAAGCAACGCGAAGAACCUUACCUGGACUUGACAUACCCUGAAUAUCUUAGAGAUAAGAGAAGCCCUUCGGGGCAGGGAUACAGGUGGUGCAUGGUUGUCGUCAGCUCGUGUCGUGAGAUGUUAGGUUAAGUCCUGCAACGAGCGCAACCCCUGUUGUUAGUUGCUAACAUUUAGUUGAGCACUCUAGCAAGACUGCCGCGGUUAACGCGGAGGAAGGUGGGGAUGACGUCAAAUCAUCAUGCCCCUUAUGUCCAGGGCAACACACGUGCUACAAUGGGCAGUACAGAGAGAAGCAAGACCGCAAGGCGGAGCAAACCUCAAAAACUGCCCCCAGUUCGGAUUGCAGGCUGAAACUCGCCUACAUGAAGUUGGAGUUGCUAGUAAUCGCGAAUCAGAAUGUCGCGGUGAAUACGUUCCCGGGCCUUGUACACACCGCCCGUCACACCAUGAGAGCUGGCAACACCCGAAGUCCGUAGUCUAACUUAGGAGGACGCGGCCGAAGGUGGGGUUAGUAAUUGGGGUGAAGUCGUAACAAGGUAGCCGUAGGAGAACCUGCGGCUGGAUCACCUCCUU
rnacentral:rRNA from 1 species